AAAAAAUGUGAUGCAAUCAGAAGCUUGAAAAGUGCUUGCACAUUGAGGCUUGCCCUCUCUAGCAGCAAACAGAAUCCUGCAAUUGCCGCGGGGAGAAGGCGAACUGGCCUACUGAAAACAAGAAAUAACGUGGCUCCCCCACCUCCACAGCACCCCAGCCAAUAGACAACCACCUGUCGGCCCAUAAGUGAGGUCAUCCUCUGGACAACCCAGCUGCCAGCUGACCACAAAUGCAUGAGUUAGCGCAGCUUAAAACAAAGAAAAUUUGUUGCACGACCCUGUGUGUUCUGAGACUGAGCUAAGUAGAAGAAAGAUUGGAUGUACUUGGGCCUCAGGAACAACCAGAACUAAGUAUAUGGAUGUCAGCACAAAAUAAAAGAUGAAGAUAUUUUAAAGGCUCAUAUCUGAGAUGGAGUCUCCCGCCGGGUG
rnacentral:lncRNA from 1 species